rnacentral:rRNA from 1 species
AACGAACGCUGGCGGCGUGCUUAACACAUGCAAGUCGAACGGGUUUAAUGGAUGUAGCAAUACAUUCAUUAAAUUAGUGGCGCACGGGUGAGUAACACGUAGGUAACCUACCCUUCAGUGGGGGACAACAGAGGGAAACUUCUGCUAAUACCGCAUACGAUCACGGACUGGGAUGUUCGUGGUGAAAGGAUUUAUUCGCUGAGGGAUGGGCCUGCGGCCUAUCAGGUAGUUGGUGAGGUAAUGGCUCACCAAGCCUGCGACGGGUAGCCGGACUGAGAGGUCGAUCGGCCACACUGGAACUGAGACACGGUCCAGACUCCUACGGGAGGCAGCAGUGGGGAAUAUUGCACAAUGGGGGAAACCCUGAUGCAGCGACGCCGCGUGGAGGAUGACGGCCUUCGGGUUGUAAACGUCCUUUUGUUCAGGGACAAUGGUGAUGGUACCUGACGAAUAAGCCACGGCUAACUACGUGCCAGCAGCCGCGGUAAGCUGUAGUCGU